UGGGGGGAUAUUGCACAAUGGAGGAAACUCUGAUGCAGCGACGCCGCGUGAGUGAAGAAGUAUUUCGGUAUGUAAAGCUCUAUCAGCAGGGAAGAUAAUGACAGUACCUGACUAAGAAGCCCCGGCUAACUACGUGCCAGCAGCCGCGGUAAUACGGAGGAUGCGAGCGUUAUCCGGAUUUAUUGGGUUUAAAGGGUGCGUAGGCUGUUUGUCAAGUCAGAGGUGAAAGGCCGCAGCUCAACUGUGGAAUUGCCUUUUGAUACUGGCAGGCUUGAAUACUGUUGCCGUGGGAGGAAUGAGUAGUGUAGCGGUGAAAUGCAUAGAUAUUACUCAGAACACCGAUUGCGAAGGCAUCUCACGAAGCAGACAUUGACGCUGAGGCACGAAAGCGUGGGGAUCAAACAGGAUUAGAUACCCUGGUAGU
rnacentral:rRNA from 1 species